rnacentral:rRNA from 1 species
GAAGGCCCAGACAGCCAGGAUGUUGGCUUAGAAGCAGCCAUCAUUUAAAGAAAGCGUAAUAGCUCACUGGUCGAGUCGGCCUGCGCGGAAGAUGUAACGGGGCUAAACUAUGCACCGAAGCUGCGGCAGCGACACUAUGUGUUGUUGGGUAGGGGAGCGUUCUGUAAGCCUGUGAAGGUGUGUCGUGAGGCAUGCUGGAGGUAUCAGAAGUGCGAAUGCUGACAUAAGUAACGAUAAAGCGGGUGAAAAGCCCGCUCGCCGGAAGACCAAGGGUUCCUGUCCAACGUUAAUCGGGGCAGGGUGAGUCGACCCCUAAGGCGAGGCCGAAAGGCGUAGUCGAUGGGAAACGGGUUAAUAUUCCCGUACUUGGUGUUACUGCGAAGGGGGGACGGAGAAGGCUAUGUUGGCCGGGCGACGGUUGUCCCGGUUUAAGCGUGUAGGUGUGUGUUCCAGGUAAAUCCGGUUCACUUUAACACUGAGGCGUGAUGACGAGGCACUACGGUGCUGAAGCAACAAAUGCCCUGCUUCCAGGAAAAGCCUCUAAGCAUCAGGUAACAUCAAAUCGUACCCCAAACCGACACAGGUGGUCAGGUAGAGAAUACCAAGGCGCUUGAGAGAACUCGGGUGAAGGAACUAGGCAAAAUGGUGCCGUAACUUCGGGAGAAGGCACGCUGACACGUAGGUGAAGUGAUUUACUCAUGGAGCUGAAGUCAGUCGAAGAUACCAGCUGGCUGCAACUGUUUAUUAAAAACACAGCACUGUGCAAACACGAAAGUGGACGUAUACGGUGUGACGCCUGCCCGGUGCCGGAAGGUUAAUUGAUGGGGUCAGCGCAAGCGAAGCUCCUGAUCGAAGCCCCGGUAAACGGCGGCCGUAACUAUAACGGUCCUAAGGUAGCGAAAUUCCUUGUCGGGUAAGUUCCGACCUGCACGAAUGGCGUAAUGAUGGCCAGGCUGUCUCCACCCGAGACUCAGUGAAAUUGAACUCGCUGUGAAGAUGCAGUGUACCCGCGGCAAGACGGAAAGACCCCGUGAACCUUUACUAUAGCUUGACACUGAACAUUGAGCCUUGAUGUGUAG